rnacentral:RNase_P_RNA from 1 species
AGCCGGCCGGACGGCCGCGGGACGGGGACCAUCGCCACCAGGCGACAGGCCCGUACUCCCGAGGAAAGUCCGGACUCCACAGAGCAGGGUGGUUGCUAACGGCAACCCGGGGUGACCCGCGGGAUCAGUGCCACAGAAAACAGACCGCCACGCCCAUUGAGGCGCGGUAAGGGUGAAACGGUGCGGUAAGAGCGCACCAGCACCCCGGGUGACCGGGGUGGCUAGGUAAACCCCGCCCGGAGCAAGGUUGAAGAUCGCACCGCUUGCGGUGCGUUUGCGCGGAUGACGUGCAGUGAUGCAUGGAAGGGCUGCUCGCCCGAGUCCGCGGGUGGACCGCUUGAGGUACCCGGCGACGGAGUGCCCAGAUGGAUGGUCGUCGCCCUCCCUUUCGAGGAGGGCACAGGAUCCGGCUUACAGGCCGGCUCGU